GACGAACGCUGGCGGCGUGCCUAAUACAUGCAAGUAGGACGCAGUUGCGAACGGGUGAGUAACGCGUAGGUAACUACCUAUUAGAGGGGGAUAACUCUUGGAAACGAUAGCUAAUACCGCAUACUAGCAGAUGGACCUGUGUUGUAUUGGCUAAUAGGUAGGGUAAUGGCCUACCUAGGCAACGAUACAUAGCCGACCGUAGGGGGGGAUCGGCCACACUGGGACUGAGACACGGCCCAGACUCCGACGGGAGGCAGCAGGAGGGAAUCUUCGGCAAUGGGGGGAACCCUGACCGAGCAACGCCGCGGGAGUGAAGAAGGUUUUCGGAUCGUAAAGCUCUGUUGUUAAGGAAGCGGUACUUAACCAGAAAGGGACGGCUAACUACGUGCCAGCAGCCGCGGUAAUAC
rnacentral:rRNA from 1 species